CGGACGGGUGAGUAACACGUGGAUAACUUACCUAUAAGACUGGGAUAACUUCGGGAAACCGGAGCUAAUACCGGAUAAUAUAUUGAACCGCAUGGUUCAAUAGUGAAAGACGGUUUUGCUGUCACUUAUAGAUGGAUCCGCGCCGCAUUAGCUAGUUGGUAAGGUAACGGCUUACCAAGGCAACGAUGCGUAGCCGACCUGAGAGGGUGAUCGGCCACACUGGAACUGAGACACGGUCCAGACUCCUACGGGAGGCAGCAGUG
rnacentral:rRNA from 1 species